GCUAAACGCGAAGAACCUUACCUGGUCUUGACAUCCUCGGAACCCUGCAGAGAUGCGGGGGUGCCUUCGGGAGCCGAGAGACAGGUGCUGCAUGGCUGUCGUCAGCUCGUGUCGUGAGAUGUUGGGUUAAGUCCCGCAACGAGCGCAACCCUUGUCCCUAGUUGCCAUCAUUUAGUUGGGAACUCUAGGGAGACCGCCGGUAACAAACCGGAGGAAGGUGGGGAUGACGUCAAGUCAUCAUGGCCUUUAUGGCCAGGGCUACACACGUGCUACAAUGGCAGGUACAGAGGGAAGCCAACCGGCGACGGGGAGCUAAUCCCAGAAAGCCUGUCUUAGUCCGGAUUGCAGUCUGCAACUCGACUGCAUGAAGUUGGAAUCGCUAGUAAUCGCAGAUCAGCAUUGCUGCGGUGAAUACGUUCCCGGGUCUUGUACACACCG
rnacentral:rRNA from 1 species